rnacentral:lncRNA from 1 species
UCCCUACAGCAUUAACAGUCAUAUUUAUCUAGCUGUAUAAUAAAAGUUGCUUUCUUGUGGCAAAUUUAUUUCAAAAUCCAUCCAAUGUAGCUUAACACAUAAGGCUCUAAGUUCCAGGGGUCAGCAUGUAUCCUCAGGGCAGAAGUCAUUUGGGUACCAAUUUAUCACAGUGUAUUUCUGUUUACUUUUUAGAUUCUUAGCUAUGUAUUAAAAGAAUCAGUAGUGCAAGUUAUAUCAUAUUGGUGCUUUGUCUGGAAAGACUUCCCAGGGUGUCUUCUCCAGGUUGCCAGAGGCCAAAACCUCUCAUUUGGCAAGGAGAAACAAUCUUCUUUAAUGAGCAUUUCCAAAUUUUAAGAGGAGAAAUUGCUGUAAAAUUUUUGUGUGAGUAUAAACAGGGAGAGGAGGAUGGAGAAGUUUAAUUUUAUGACUUAUCCCCAUUGUCAUUCAGUCAAUUAUUCUCAGGUCUUAAUAGUCUCUGUGAAUUAAAAUAUUACAUUUAGAAUGAGAUAUUUUCAUAAAGAUACUUAGUAGUC